AUGGCAGACAAGGGUGAAAGAUUUGUUGGCACAACAGGAUGCUUGAAGGCGUUGUUGCAGGAAGCCAAGCCAGCUAAGAUGGAGGCGGAUGACUGGGAGGAGUUACAGUUGAAAGCAGCCGGGACUAUACGGUUGUGUCUGUCGGACCAGGUUAUUUAUCAUGUGAUGGAUGAGAAUUCGACGAAGAAGAUCUGGGAGAACCUGGAAAGUCAGUUUAUGUCCAAGACUGUGACGACCAAAGUGUAUCUGAAGCAAAAGCUGUAUGGGAUGAGGAUGCAGGAGGGGUCAGAUCUUGUGGAGUAUAUGAACGCCUUUAAUCAAGUCGUGACGGAUCUAGCACGCUUGGGUGCGACGGUUGACGACGAGGAUAGGGCAAUUCUGCUUCUUUGUUCAUUGCCAUCAUCCUAUGACCAUUUGAUCACUACUUUGAUGCACGGCAAGGAGACUGUCAAGAAUGAGGAUAUUACUGCGGCAUUGCUAUCUUAUGAUAUGAGAAAGAAGAACGCGGUGGAAGUCUCUCAUGGUGAAGGUUUGCUAGUCAAGGGUGAGCAGUGGCGGAAGGGAUAUGAGGCUGGGAAGAACAAGAAAAAGAAAAAGAAUAUACAGUGUCACAAGUGUAAGCAGUGGGGACAUAUGAGAAAGAACUGUCCAGAACUCAACGGUGGGGCCAGUGCUAAUAAGGCAACUCAUGGUGAUGACUCGGACAGCAGCAGUGAUGUCCUCGUAUUAUCAGACAGGCGGUCAACCAAAAGUGAAGCGUGGAUGUUGGAUUCAGCUUGCUCUUUUCAUGCGACACCCAACAGGGAGUGGUUCUCUUCGUACAAGUCUGGUGAGUUUGGUUUAGCCUAUGUGGGCGAUGACACAGGUUAUCGUGUUGCUGGAGUAGGUGACAUCAAAAUCAAGAUGUUUGACGGAGUUGAGCGGAUGCUUCAGGGAGUCAGGCAUGUGCCGGGCUAA
rnacentral:rRNA from 1 species